UGGGGAUAGGUUAUCCGUGCUCUGAGUCUGAGAAGGGGAUUUGGGGGAGGCUUAAGGUAGAAACAAAAGAUCUCAGUUUUGCCAUCCAAAUCAACCCAUGGCCAGAUCAGAUUUAGGAUUUCUUCUGAAUUUUGUCCUUGGAGGUGUGGGAAGAAUGAAUAUUGAAUAUUCAUACUCAACAUGAAUAUUUUGGAAGCUGGGCCUGAAAGUUAAGGUUCACUGAAAGCUAAAAAUGAGAUGAACUCAGUGAAAGUACUGUGGAAAGAGGCACCUGGCUGGAUAUUUGAAUCUUCUUAACCCUGAGCUCUGCUUCAGUCUCAUCUGUUGUGUUCAUGACAUGACUCUCUAAUCACUAUGGGCAAUUGGGAAAAUGGUUAUUUUCAAAAAGAAAUUGACUUGUCUCUUCGUAGUUUAAUGUAGAAGCAGGUAUAGUUUGGUUAUGGUGAAAUCUGGUAAGUUGGUCUUUGUGAUAAUACAUACCUUUUGGUUUCAGAAAACAUUGUAUACUUAUUUUCUAUAUGACUAAUUUUCCGAGCACUUUUCAUUCUAGAUAAUUUAUCUUCAUCCCCUAAAAUUCCAGCAGAAACAAUUCUUCCUAUUUAAGAUAUCUUAGCAACUGGUACCCAAUUUAUCUAAUGUAUUCCCUUAGCCUCUAGGAGAAAUUAAAAAUAAUCUGUGGAGUACUGAGUAUAGUCUAAUAGCAGAAGGGUACCAUAGCCCAUUGUUUCUAACUAUUUGCAUCAUUUUUGGCAGGUCCAAUGACGGCAUCCACAGAUGAGGCCAAAGCUUGAAUGCCCUUGGAGCCUAUACUGCUUUUAGGCCCUGGCAGAAACAUGGUUUUUAAAUCACAUUCCAAAGUGCAAUUACCAACAAUGAAUAAAUACAUCAUAACAAUGGGGGAAGCAGAAAAUGACUUUAGAAAGACAGAGUGAUCUUUUGAGACACAGUCUAUAUAAUUCCUAGGAAGCCCUGAUAGUAUCUUCUUGGGAAAUCUCCCUGCUGCAGGAAACUGCCUUCCUAGAUUUUACCUCACUGCCUCUAGUUGCAGUUACUUCAGGUAAACAGACCUCCUUUUAACUGUGACUCUUCCUCAGAGAACCAAAAUAUGCUUUGUUUUUUCUUGGGCCCUAUAGGAUCCUGGUUUGGGAUAAAUCUCAUAUGUCUAUUUUCCAAAGAUCAUUUUGGUUUCUCUGUAUUUGUAAAUGCACUUGAUUGUAAUCACAAAAGAAAAGACAGUGAUGCACUGUGUUGGCUCUGAAGAAAAACAUUGACCAGACAGAAAGUCUUCCCCAUAGCCAAACUGAGCUGUAAUGACCGUGCUUUUCAUUUCUCCCAGGAAAUAGUAAUAUAAUUGGUCACUGUAUUACAGUAAACAGUUUGUUCAUUCUUUGUUCAGUAGAAAAUGUUUGGGAGAUAUGUCUCACAUAAUAUGCUGGCUUCACGAUAAUAAAGACUGGGAAUAGAUUUGUUUCUAA
rnacentral:lncRNA from 1 species